rnacentral:piRNA from 1 species
AACCAGGCUGGUCUCGAACUCACAGA